rnacentral:lncRNA from 1 species
UAUGGAUAUGUGGGUCACUUCUUUUACUCUAGCGUGUUCUUUUCCCUUAGCUUCCAGAACUUUAAGAUGCCUGAGGAUUUCACAAAUACAUUGCAUGAGGGAAAAUUACUCUUCUGUUGAUAGAAGAUCUAUGUCAAAGAAAUUCCCAUUGCAACAUGUUGAUGCAUGACUCAUCCUAGGAGAUAUCCUCUAUUGGAUUGGGGCCCUAGAUGAGACAGAGAGGUAUGUUAUAAAUGGCUUUUAUCAAUAAAUUAAAU